rnacentral:tRNA from 1 species
CAGGAAGUAGUUUAAGAAAAAUAUUAAUUUUGGAGAUUAACGAUGAAAAAGAAGUCUUUCCUGA